rnacentral:rRNA from 1 species
UACGUAGGGGGCAAGCGUUGUCCGGAAUUAUUGGGCGUAAAGAGCGUGUAGGCGGUCCGGUAAGUCAGCUGUGAAAGUCAAGGGCUCAACCCUUGAAUGCCGGUUGAUACUGUCGGGCUAGAGUCCGGAAGAGGCGAGUGGAAUUCCCGGUGUAGCGGUGAAAUGCGUAGAUAUUGGGAGGAACACCAGUGGCGAAGGCGGCUCACUGGACCGGUACUGACGCUGAUGCGCGAAAGCGUGGGGAGCAAACGGG